CCUUCGAUAGCUCAGUUGGAAGAGCGUGGGACUGUAAUGGAAACUGUGCAUCCCGAGGUCACUGGUUCGAUCCCGGUUCGAAGGA